CACAUUCACAUUUAAGACUUUUUUGUAGGGGUGAGAACCAGAAGGGCGUAAGUGACAUUUUACCAACUUUACAGGAGGGCCAAAACU